GAUGAACGCUGGCGGCGUGCCUAAUACAUGCAAGUCGAGCGAACGGACGAGAAGCUUGCUUCUCUGAUGUUAGCGGCGGACGGGUGAGUAACACGUGGAUAACCUACCUAUAAGACUGGGAUAACUUCGGGAAACCGGAGCUAAUACCGGAUAAUAUUUUGAACCGCAUGGUUCAAAAGUGAAAGACGGUCUUGCUGUCACUUAUAGAUGGAUCCGCGCUGCAUUAGCUAGUUGGUAAGGUAACGGCUUACCAAGGCAACGAUGCAUAGCCGACCUGAGAGGGUGACCGGCCACACUGGAACUAGGACACGGUCCAGACUCCUACGGGAGGCAGCAGUAGGGAAUCUUCCGCAAUGGGCGAAAGCCUGACGGAGCAACGCCGCGUGAGUGAUGAAGGUCUUCGGAUCGUAAAACUCUGUUAUUAGGGAAGAACAUAUGUGUAAGUAACUGUGCACAUCUUGACGGUACCUAAUCAGAAAGCCACGGCUAACUACGUG
rnacentral:rRNA from 1 species